rnacentral:rRNA from 1 species
GAUCAUAUACUUCUUUCAAGGAUGAAGCCAUGCAAGUGUCGGAGCGAGCAAGGCAAGCAAGGUGAAUCUGUGAACGGCUCAUUACAUCAGUGACUGUCAAACCAGGAGAGUGUGGGGGUGAGCUUCUGCAAACCCCAGCCAAGUGGAUAUCUGUUUUAACAAGUCAGCUAAUACAUGUCAGAGGGUACAUCUACUGACUGGGUUCCCUUUGUGAGCCUGGUGGCCAUUGAACCUUGUGUUCUCUCCAUUGUGGCCCAAGUGGGUGUUGUGAUGCACUGCUACCAACAGACCAAUGCUGAAAUAGCAGUGUGUUAUGUUGACUCAGGUGCAUUGUGUGUUUAACAUACAUGCAAGUGCAGUAGCAAUGUGGUUGAUUCAUCAACCCAUGCAGUCUUGGAGGAGCUUCUGCCCUAUCAGCUUUUGAUUGUCUGAGAGUGUCCUGCAAUGGCCUUGACGGGUGACAGAGAACAAGGGUUUGAUUCUGGAGAGGGAGCCUGAGAGACGGCUACCACAGCCAAGGAUGGCAGCAGGCGCGCAAAUUGCCCAAUCCUAACUCAACAAGGGAGGCAGCGACAAAGAAUGACAACCUGUCUCAGUGUUUACACUAAACAGGUUCUGUGAUGGGUGUUAUCCAAACCAAACAGCGAGUAUCAACUUGUGGGCAAGUCUGGUGCCAGCAGCCGCGGUAAUUCCAGCAUAAGGAGUGUAUACCAACAUUGCUGCUGUUAAAAAGCUCGUAGUUGACUGCUGAGGUGCAGGGUGUUAUCCACCCCAUGUGGCUGUGACUUGUCUAACACUUUGCAUUCAGGUGGAGGUGAUAUCAUUCUGCCCUCCCUAAAACAAGGAAUUGAUAUCCCUGCCCAAGUAUCCUUGACUUUGGAUGCAAAACCUGCUGUAYYAUGCAACUCAUGUUUGCACAAGGGUGAGCAAUCACUUUUGGGAUCGUCCUUGGCUGUUACCAUGAACAAAACAACAUGUCCAAAGUAACUGACCUGUCGGUUGAAUGUUCUAGCAUGGAAUGACGAGUGAUUGACCAGAGGCUCUGUGUUCUAUUGGCCUUAUCAUGCUUUGUGGAUAAUCUCUGUGCUCCACCACUAGGUUCACCUGGUGUGUGUCACAGCUUGCAGUAGCGGUGGAAGAGCUCUGAGCUAUGUGAAUUAAUUGGCGAGAGGUGAAAUUCUCAGACCCAUUUGAGGCAAACUGAAGCAAAGGCGUUCAGCAGUGUCAAGUUUGCCAAUCAAGAACGAGAGUGUGGGGAACAAAGAUGAUCAGAUACCGUUGUAGUCCACUGGCUGUAAACCAUGCCAGCUCGGUCUAGGUGAAGGAGCUUGAUUUGCCACCAUGUCUGGACCAUUUCCCCCUCCAUCGAGAAAUCCAAGCCUGUGGGUUCAGGGGGGAGUACCCUUGCAAGAGGGAAACUUAAAGGAAUUGACGGAAUGACACCACAAGGUGUGGAGUCUGCGGCUUAAUUUGACUCAACACGGGGAAUGUUACCAAGCCAGCACAAGGUGAGGAUGGACAGAUUGAAAGCUCUUUCUUGAUCCCUUGGACGGUGGUGCAUGGCCGCUUCUGGUUGGUGGAGUGAUUUGUCUGGCUGAUUCCGUUAACGAGCGAGAUCAAGGCCUCCCAUUGGUUGCUAGCCUCGUUUUAGGGUCUUGUCCAUUGUGCUUGUGUUUCUGACACCUGUGUGAUGGUUCAACCUGAGAGAGCUAUGACACAUCCUCAGAGGGCUGGGUUUGCUGCCAAAAACCCACAUUCACUUGGCGACAGCAGGUCUGUGAUGCCCCUAGAUGCCCUGGGCUGCACGCGCACGACAAUGGUUCUGUGAUCAUGCUGAACAAACCCUCAUUUGCACUGACCUUCUGGUCUGUUGUACUUGAGGGCCUCCCUGGAUGUGGGUGGGCAAUCAUUCAAGCCUAUACCAUGCUUGGGACAGGUGUUUGCAACUGUUUGCCUUGAACUAGGAAUACCUUGUAAGCUCCAGUCAUCAGCUGGAACUGAAUGUGUCCCUGCCAUUUGUACACACCGCCCGUCGUUGCUACCGAUGCUAUAAAAAUAGAGGACAGAGGAGGCAUGAUCCUGCUUAGGCAAUUCUUGCUGAAUCUAGCCAAUGUUUCUGUAGUAGAGAUAGCAAAGGUGGUAGCAAGGUUGCU